rnacentral:rRNA from 1 species
GACGAACGCUGGCGGCGUGCUUAACACAUGCAAGUCGAACGAUGACGACCGAGCUUGCUCGGUCUGAUUAGUGGCGAACGGGUGAGUAACACGUGAGCAACCUGCCCUUCACUCUGGGAUAACCUCGGGAAAUCGGGGCUAAUACCGGAUAUGAGCUCCUGUCGCAUGGCGGGUGUUGGAAAGUUUGUCGGUGAAGGAUGGGCUCGCGGCCUAUCAGUUUGUUGGUGUGGUAGUGGCUCACCAAGGCGAUGACGGGUAGCCGGCCUGGGAGGGCGACCGGCCACACUGGGACUGAGACACGGACCAGACUCCUACGGGAGGCAGCAGUGGGGAAUAUUGCACAGUGGGCGAAAGCCUGAUGCAGCGACGCCGCGUGAGGGAUGACGGCCUUCGGGUUGUAAACCUCUUUCAGCAGGGAAGAAGCGAAAGUGACGGUACCUGCAGAAGAAGCGCCGGCUAACUACGUG